AUUGAACGCUGGCGGCAGGCCUAACACAUGCAAGUCGAGCGGAGCGGCGGACGGGUGAGUAAUGCCUAGGAAUCUGCCUGGUAGUGGGGGAUAGCGUCCGGAAACGGGCGCUAAUCCCGCAUCCUAUCAGAUGCGCCUAGGUCGGAUUAGCUAGUUGGGGGGGUAAAGGCCCACCAAGGGGACGAUCCGUAGCUGGUCUGAGAGGAUGAUCAGGCACACGGGAACGGGUACACGGUCCAGACUCCUACGGGAGGCAGCAGUGGGGAAUAUUGGACAAUGGGCGAAAGCCUGAUCCAGCCAUGCCGCGUGUGUGAAGAGGGUCUUCGGAUGGGAAAGCACUUUAAGUUGGGAGGCGUUACCAACAGAAUAAGCACCGGCUAACUUCGUGCCAGCAGCCGCGGUAAUAC
rnacentral:rRNA from 1 species